AGCUUACACAUGCAGUCGAGCGGGGGAGGUAGCUUGCUACCGGACCUAGCGGCGGACGGGUGAGUAAUGCUUAGGAAUCUGCCUAUUAGUGGGGGACAACAUCUCGAAAGGGAUGCUAAUACCGCAUACGUCCUACGGGAGAAAGCAGGGGAUCUUCGGACCUUGCGCUAAUAGAUGAGCCUAAGUCGGAUUAGCUAGUUGGUGGGGUAAAGGCCUACCAAGGCGACGAUCUGUAGCGGGUCUGAGAGGAUGAUCCGCCACACUGGGACUGAGACACGGCCCAGACUCCUACGGGAGGCAGCAGUGGGGAAUAUUGGACAAUGGGCGCAAGCCUGAUCCAGCCAUGCCGCGUGUGUGAAGAAGGCCUUAUGGUUGUAAAGCACUUUAAGCGAGGAGGAGGCUACUUUAGAUAAUACCUAGAGAUAGUGGACGUUACUCGCAGAAUAAGCACCGGCUAACUCUGUGCCAGCAGCCGCGGUAAUACAGAGGGUGCAAGCGUUAAUCGGAUUUACUGGGCGUAAAGCGCGCGUAGGCGGCUAAUUAAGUCAAAUGUGAAAUCCCCGAGCUUAACUUGGGAAUUGCAUUCGAUACUGGUUAGCUAGAGUGUGGGAGAGGAUGGUAGAAUUCCAGGUGUAGCGGUGAAAUGCGUAGAGAUCUGGAGGAAUACCGAUGGCGAAGGCAGCCAUCUGGCCUAACACUGACGCUGAGGUGCGAAAGCAUGGGGAGCAAACAGGAUUAG
rnacentral:rRNA from 1 species